rnacentral:rRNA from 1 species
UACGGAGGGAGCUAGCGUUGUUCGGAAUUACUGGGCGUAAAGCGCGCGUAGGCGGCUUUGUAAGUUAGAGGUGAAAGCCCGGGGCUCAACCCCGGAACUGCCUUUAAAACUGCAUCGCUUGAAUCCGGGAGAGGUGAGUGGAAUUCCGAGUGUAGAGGUGAAAUUCGUAGAUAUUCGGAAGAACACCAGUGGCGAAGGCGGCUCACUGGAUCGGUACUGACGCUGAGGUGCGAAAGCGUGGGGAGCAAACAGG